rnacentral:rRNA from 1 species
CCUGUUGAGCUUGACUCUAAUCUGGCAGUGUAAGGAGACAUAAGAGGUGUAGCAUAAGUGGGAGAUAUAUAAUAAUCUUUUAAGAUUUAUAUAUCAAAAAUGAAAUACCACUACUCUUAUUGUUUCCUUACUUACUUGAUUAAAUGGAACGUGUAUCAUUUACUUAGCCAUUAUAUGGAUAUAUUUUUUAUAAUAUAUUUUAUGGUAUUUUGUUUUGAUGCAAGCUUCUUGAUCAAAGUACUUAUGAGUUUGUUAUAUACACCAAACAAAUUUCAGUGAAAUCGUUUUUAUAAUAAAAAAUUUUUCUUUAUAGAAAUAAUUUUUUUUUUAUGUAUAAUUAAAGUAAUUAUUUUUGGUAUAACUCUUUAUACUCUGGUAUGAUCCAAUUCAAGGACAUUGGCAGGUAGGGAGUUUGACUGGGGCGGUACAUCUCUCAAAUAAUAACGGAGGUGUCCCAAGGCCAGCUCAGUGCGGACAGAAACCACACAUAGAACAAAAGGGCACAUGCUGACUUGACCUCGGUGUUCAGUAUACACAGAGACAGCAAAAGCUCGGCCUAUCGAUCCUUUUGGUUUAAUGAGUUUUUAGCAAGAGGUGUCAGAAAAGUUACCACAGGGAUAACUGGCUUGUGGCGACCAAGCGUUCAUAGCGACGUC